AGUGAACGCUGGCGGUAGGCCUAACACAUGCAAGUCGAACGGCAGCACAGUAAGAGCUUGCUCUUACGGGUGGCGAGUGGCGGACGGGUGAGGAAUACAUCGGAAUCUACUUUUUCGUGGGGGAUAACGUAGGGAAACUUACGCUAAUACCGCAUACGCCCUACGGGUGAAAGCAGGGGAUCUUCGGACCUUGCGCGAUUGAAUGAGCCGAUGUCGGAUUAGCUAGUUGGCGGGGUAAAGGCCCACCAAGGCGACGAUCCGUAGCUGGUCUGAGAGGAUGAUCAGCGACACUGGAACUGGGACACGGUCCAGACUCCUACGGGAGGCAGCAGUGGGGAAUAUUGGACAAUGGGCGCAAGCCUGAUCCAGCCAUACCGCGUGGGUGAAGAAGGCCUUCGGGUUGUAAAGACCUUUUGUUGGGAAAGAAAAGCAGCAGGUUAAGACCCAGCUGUUCUGACGGUACCCAAAGAAUAAGCACCGGCUAACUUCGUG
rnacentral:rRNA from 1 species